AUUGAACGCUGGCGGCAUGCCUUACACAUGCAAGUCGAACGGUAACGGGCCUUCGGGUGCCGACGAGUGGCGAACGGGUGAGUAAUACAUCGGAACGUGCCCGAUCGUGGGGGAUAACGAGGCGAAAGCUUUGCUAAUACCGCAUACGAUCUACGGAUGAAAGCAGGGGACCGCAAGGCCUUGCGCGGACGAAGCGGCCGAUGGCAGAUUAGGUAGUUGGUGGGAUAAAAGCUUACCAAGCCGACGAUCUGGAGCUGGUCUGAGAGGAUGAUCAGCCACACUGGGACUGAGACACGGCCCAGACUCCUACGGGAGGCAGCAGUGGGGAAUUUUGGACAAUGGGCGCAAGCCUGAUCCAGCCAUGCCGCGUGCAGGAUGAAGGCCUUCGGGUUGUAAACUGCUUUUGUACGGAACGAAAAGCCUUCUUUUAAUACAGGAGGGUCAUGACGGUACCGUAAGAAUAAGCACCGGCUAACUACGUG
rnacentral:rRNA from 1 species